UCAAACUGAAUUUCAAAUCUUCUCUUUUCAUGGACUAUAUAAUAUGGAACCCGUAAAACAUGAGAAAGUAGCCCGAAUAGGGCGGAUUUCGAAUGUUCCUAGGAUUGCGGGAGCACAAAGUGCGAAGCAAUCCACGGGUAUCA
rnacentral:sRNA from 1 species